rnacentral:rRNA from 1 species
GCCUAACACAUGCAAGUCGAACGGAGACAAACGCUGAUUUGAAGGUAGCUUGCUACUGAAUUUUCUUGUUUGUCUUAGUGGCGGACGGGUGAGUAACGCGUGAAUAACCUGCCUUAUACUGGGGGACAACAGUUGGAAACGACUGCUAAUACCGCAUAAGCGCACGGUGCUGCAUGGCACAGUGUGAAAAACUCCGGUGGUAUAAGAUGGAUUCGCGUCUGAUUAGCUAGUUGGUGAGGUAAUAGCUCACCAAGGCGACGAUCAGUAGCCGGCCUGAGAGGGUGAACGGCCACAUUGGGACUGAGACACGGCCCAAACUCCUACGGGAGGCAGCAGUGGGGAAUAUUGCACAAUGGGGGAAACCCUGAUGCAGCGACGCCGCGUGAGCGAUGAAGUAUUUCGGUAUGUAAAGCUCUAUCAGCAGGGAAGAAAAUGACGGUACCUGACUAAGAAGCACCGGCUAAAUACGUG